CCUACGGGAGGCAGCAGUGAGGAAUAUUGGUCAAUGGGCGCGAGCCUGAACCAGCCAAGUCGCGUGAGGGAAGACGGUCCUCUGGAUUGUAAACCUCUUUUGUCGGGGAGCAAAAGACGCCACGCGUGGCGUUCCGAGAGUACCCGAAGAACAAGCAUCGGAUAACUCCGUGCCAGCCGCCGCGGUACUACGGAGGAGGCGAUCGUUAUCCGGAUUUAUUGGGUUUAAAGGGUGCGCAGGGGGAAGAUCAAGUCAGUGGGAAAAUUGAGAGGCUCAACCUGUUCGAGCCGUUGAAACUGGUUUUCUUGAGUGAGCGAGAAGUAGGCGGAAUGCGUGGUGUAGCGAUGAAAUGCAUAGAUAUCACGCAGAACGCCGAUGGCGAAGGCAGCAUACCGGCGCUCAACUGACGCUCAUGCACGAAAGUGUGGGUAUCGAACAGGAUUAGAUACCCGUGUAGUC
rnacentral:rRNA from 1 species